AGUCUGUGAUUCACUCCAAAGGUGGCAAUAUAAUAAGAAGAAGAAACAGAAAUGGAGCCAACAACAAAGUAGUGCAAAAAACAUGACCUCAGCAGGCUCUGCAUGAAAUCUGUUCUCUGCAGAAAGCCUUCCGGGUCUAUGUGCCCUGAUACAGAAGGUGGUGGACGAGACACCUGUCUUCCCACUGAAGUCUACAGACAUUCAACUGCUGCCUUUUGUGAGAGCAGAAACACGUUCUUGAAGCAGGUACGAUGACAGCAGAAAUAAUUUCAUGGUUUUCCUGUCAAUCAUUUGCUAGCACAGUGUACUGCAGCAGCUCACUGAAAAGCCAGAGGUAAUGGAAGUAAAGCUACCACGUCUGCAGCUGGGACACAGCAAGGAGGUUAGGAGAAAAGGAGAGAGAGGGUGGUCUGCUCAGCCCCAUCAAGGUUGGCUCAGCCCAUGUCAACCAGCCACACAUGAGGAUGGGACAGCCUAACAUAAAGAGUGUAAAAUAGUCCCUUAAGGCUCCAGCUGCAUUAAUGAUGUCUGAUGAGCUUUUUUCUGAUGGACAGUGCUUCUCACAGAGUACAGUAAUGGAGUACAAACUCAUAAAGCCAGCUAACAUAUCCUAAAACUUUGUGCCUGUGUAUAUUCACGGCUGGGGAGAUCCCCUCAAGGCAUAAAGGAUAAACCUCUCCACUGGUAAUGUUAGAGUUUUUGAUACUGUCAUUCACAAAGUAUUGCUGCUUUCCCAGGGUCAUGCCACUCCUCUGUAAUUAUUUCUUUUUAAUUUGUCUCUGAGAUAUGCAUAAGGGUUGCCCAAAUUAAUCACAGUGCUCCCUCCCUCUCAUGUGGGGUCUCAGAUAUGGUUUCUAUGUGAUUCUACAGUUACCCUCAGAUUUUAGCAACCAGGAGUUUGCAGGGACCCUUAGGAGCUGUUAUGUUGGUGACCUGCUUUGUGUUUCUUGUCAUUGAUGCCUUCUCCAUUUCCAGAUUCCUGCAAUAAUGAAAUAAAAAUCUGAUUUAACUUCUCUCCA
rnacentral:lncRNA from 1 species